AACGCACCUUGCGCCUCUUGGUAUUCCGAGAGGCAUGCCUGUUUGAGUGUCAUGAAACCUCAAUCCCCGAUGGUUUUCUGAACCGUCGGUGGACUUGGAACUGGGCGUCUGCCUCCCAAGGCUCGCCUCAAAUGACUUAGUGGGAACUUCUUGACCUACGCCUGACGUGAUAAGUUUCGUCUCGGCUGGUCUUGAGGCCCGCUCACAACCCCCCACAUCUUUUGACAUUGACCUCAAAUCAGGUAGGGCUACCCGCUGAACUUAA
rnacentral:misc_RNA from 1 species